AACGAACGCUGGCGGCAUGCCUAACACAUGCAAGUCGAACGAUCCCUUCGGGGAUAGUGGCGCACGGGUGCGUAACGCGUGGGAAUCUGCCCUCAGGUACGGAAUAACUCAGGGAAACUUGAGCUAAUACCGUAUAAUGACUUCGGUCCAAAGAUUUAUCGCCUGGGGAUGAGCCCGCGUCGGAUUAGCUAGUUGGUGAGGUAAAAGCUCACCAAGGCGACGAUCCGUAGCUGGUCUGAGAGGAUGAUCAGCCACACUGGGACUGAGACACGGCCCAGACUCCUACGGGAGGCAGCAGUGGGGAAUAUUGGACAAUGGGCGCAAGCCUGAUCCAGCAAUGCCGCGUGAGUGAUGAAGGCCUUAGGGUUGUAAAGCUCUUUUACCCGGAAGAUAAUGACUGUACCGGGAGAAUAAGCCCCGGCUAACUCCGUGCCAGCAGCCGCGGUAAUACGGAGGGGCUAGCGUUGUUCGGAAUUACUGGGCGUAAAGCGCACGUA
rnacentral:rRNA from 1 species